ACUCCUACGGGAGGCAGCAGUGGGGAAUAUUGGACAAUGGGCGAAAGCCUGAUCCAGCCAUGCCGCGUGAGUGAUGAAGGCCUUAGGGUUGUAAAGCUCUUUUACCCGGGAAGAUAAUGACGGUACCGGGAGAAUAAGCCCCGGCUAACUUCGUGCCAGCAGCCGCGGUAAUACGAAGGGGGCGAGCGUUGUUCGGAAUCACUGGGCGUAAAGCGCACGUAGGCGGAUCCUUAAGUCAGGGGUGAAAUCCCGAGGCUCAACCUCGGAACUGCCUUUGAUACUGGGGAUCUCGAGUCCGGGAGAGGUGAGUGGAACUGCGAGUGUAGCGGUGAAAUGCGUAGAGAUC
rnacentral:rRNA from 1 species